CCUACGGGUGGCAGCAGUGAGGAAUAUUGGUCAAUGGGCGCAAGUCUGAACCAGCCAUGCCGCGUGCAGGAAGACGGCUCUAUGAGUUGUAAACUUCUUUUGUACGAGGGUAAACGCAGAUACGCGUAUCUGUCUGAAAGUAUCUUACGAAUAAGGAUCGGCUAACUCCGUGCCAGCCGCCGCGGUAAUACGGAGGAUUCAAGCGUUAUCCGGAUUUAUUGGGGUUAAAGGGUGCGUAGGCGGUCUGUUAAGUUAGAUGUGAAAUCCCGAGGCGCAACGUCGGAAUUGCAUAUGAUACUGGUAGGCUAGAGAGUAGUUGAGGUAGGCGGAAUGUAUGGUGUAGCGGUGAAAUGCUUAGAGAUCAGACAGAACACCGAUUGCGAAGGCAGCUUACUAAGCUACCUCUGACGUUGAGGCACGAAAGCGUGGGGAGCAAACAGGAUUAGAUACCCGGGUAGUC
rnacentral:rRNA from 1 species